GAUGAACGCUGGCUGCGUGCCUAAUACAUGCAAGUCGAGCGAACGGACGAGAAGCUUGCUUCUCUGAUGUUAGCGGCGGACGGGUGAGUAACAUGUGGAUACCCUACCUAUAAGACUGGGAUAACUUCGGGAAACCGGCGCUAAUACCGGAUAAUAUUUUGAACCGCAUGGUUUAAUAGUGAAAGACGGUCUUGCUGUCACUUAUAGAUGCAUCCGCGCUGCAUGAGCUAGUUGGUAAGGUAACGGCUUACCAAGGCAACGAUGCAUAGCCGACCUGAGAGGGUGAUCGGCCACCCUGGAGCGGAGCCACGGUCCAUACUACUACGGGAGGCAGCAGUAGGGAAUCUGCCGCAAUGGGGGAAAGCCUGACGGAGCAGCGCCGCGUGAGUGAUGAAGGUCUUCGGAUCGUAAAACUCUGUUAUUAGGGAAGAACAGAUGUGGAAGUAACUGUGCACAUCUUGACGGUACCUAAUCAGAAAGCCACGGCUAACUACGUG
rnacentral:rRNA from 1 species